rnacentral:rRNA from 1 species
GACGAACGCUGGCGGCGUGCCUAACACAUGCAAGUCGAGCGAAUGAAGUUCCUUCGGGAACGGAUUUAGCGGCGGACGGGUGAGUAACACGUGGGCAACCUGCCUCAUAGAGGGGAAUAGCCUUCCGAAAGGGAGAUUAAUACCGCAUAAGAUUGUAGUACUGCAUGGUACAGCAAUUAAAGGAGCAAUCCGCUAUGAGAUGGGCCCGCGGCGCAUUAGCUAGUUGGUGAGGUAACGGCUCACCAAGGCGACGAUGCGUAGGCGACCUGAGAGGGUGAGCGGCCACAUUGGGACUGAGACACGGCCCAGACUCCUACGGGAGGCAGCAGUGGGGAAUAUUGCACAAUGGGGGAAACCCUGAUGCAGCAACGCCGCGUGAGUGAUGACGGCCUUCGGGUUGUAAAGCUCUGUCUUCAGGGACGAUAAUGACGGUACCUGAGGAGGAAGCCACGGCUAACUACGUGCCAGCCGCCGCGGUAA